GGUAUAUAGCUCAAGUGGUAGAGCGCAUGCUUAACAUGCACGAGGUCCUGGGUUCAAUCCCCAGUAAGUACCU
rnacentral:tRNA from 1 species